UACAGAGGUCCCAAGCGUUGUUCGGAUUCACUGGGCGUAAAGGGCGCGUAGGCGGUCAGCACAAGUCAGUUGUGAAAUCUCCGAGCUUAACUCGGAAAGGUCAACUGAUACUGUGCGACUAGAGUGCGGAAGGGGCAACUGGAAUUCUUGGUGUAGCGGUGAAAUGCGUAGAUAUCAAGAGGAACACCUGCGGCGAAGGCGGGUUGCUGGGCCGACACUGACGCUGAGGCGCGAAAGCUAGGGGAGCGAACGGG
rnacentral:rRNA from 1 species